GUCAGACACACUACGAGGCUGUGGCCAUCAUAAAAAAUAAAAUCUGUGGAACAGCUCGAGCAUUGCUCACAUCGCACAACACGGUGCUCAAUUUUGAUGCAAUCAUAGCUAGACUCGAUUGCACAUAUGCGGACAAAACAUCCCUACGAGUAUUACGUCCACACUUGGAAAUGGUUAGGCAGGGUGAAACCGAUCUAAUGGAAUUUUAUGACGAAGUCGAGAGAUAGCUCACGCUAGUCACUAACAAAGUGGUCAUGACUCAUAAUGAGGAGGCAGCUACCAUUCUCAACGAGGAAAUUAGGAAUGAUGCUUUACACGCAUUCAUAGCGAAAAUAUCAUUGAGAGAAGCGCAUUUGCCGCUACGUAUGCAAAGGCGAUCGAGGAAAAAAACCAUUCAGGUUUUCAUCGGGCCCAGGCCAGGCAAGGUAGAGGUCAGGAAAAGAACCCACAUUUUGUGGGAAAAAGUAAUCAAAAUAGCCAGCAACAGGGUGAUCCUUGGCCAAAGCCAAACAAUAAAGAGGCCCCACAACAAAGCCAAGUGCAGCCUAUGGAGGUUGACCCAUCGAUGUCUAGGUUGAGGCAACAGACCAAUUGGGGGAAACCACAAAGCGACGUCACACAGGGAGAAGCUCAGAAAAGGCGGAACACGUCAGAUCGUAUAUCUGGGCAAAGACGCCAACGGAUAUAUAAUAUAAUACAGCAGACCCCUAACCAAGGGGACUGGUAACACUGGUGCGGCUAAACAUUACGUAAAGCCCGUAAAGGAGCUGAAAACCUUUACUUCGGUCGAUACCCCCUUCACCGUGAGCUCGAUACAUGGCUCCAGUGAAAUAAAAAACAAGUGCCUAAUGAAUAUUUUCGGGCAAAACGCCCCAUUUUUUUUGUUAGACACUCUAACUACGUUCGAUGCCAUUAUAGGUUCCGAUUUGCUAACGCGA
rnacentral:lncRNA from 1 species